UACGGGGGGGCAAGCGUUGUUCGGAAUUACUGGGCGUAAAGGGCUCGUAGGCGGCCAACUAAGUCAGACGUGAAAUCCCUCGGCUUAACCGGGGAACUGCGUCUGAUACUGGAUGGCUUGAGUUUGGGAGAGGGAUGCGGAAUUCCUGGUGUAGCGGUGGAAUGCGCAGAUAUCAGGAGGAACACCGGUGGCGAAGGCGGGUCUCUGGGCAGUAACUGACGCUGAGGAGCGAAAGCGUGGGGAGCGAACAGG
rnacentral:rRNA from 1 species